CUUACCAGUUUUUCAAGAUCACCGCCGGAAUUCCAUCGCAGUCGUAUAUUCUCGUUUGUCGGUAGCGUGUCUGUUCGGCACCGGCUCGCGCGCGCCCCUAUCGGACAGACGCGCGGUUGUUCGGCCAGGCGGCCAACCGUCAAUCGUCAUCCGCAGACCGCGCAGUGGCAAGAAACGCGUAGUAUGUACUCCGUCGACUGCGGUCCGUCCGUCAGUCAUAUUUGCGCCGCCGGUCGUUUUCGUCGUUUCUCCGUUGCCGUUGUCGUUGUCGUCGCCGCCGCCGCUGCCGCUGUCGUCGUAAUGAAUUCGGCCGAUUACCCAUGUUAACACAACGGAACGCGAAUAAACGAAUAACGUGAUUAGACUGCAACGAAUAAUAUGUGAUUCGCAAUCGUGUUUAUUUAUUUACGCUUAAUUCCUAUGAUAAUAUUUAAUCUAUGUUUAAUCCUCGAGUUUUCUAUUUUUUCACUUAAUAAUAAUUAUAUUGCGCCUUUAAACUCCGGCUCCAAAAACAAUAUUAUGGACGUGUGAUCAGCGUAAGACGUUUUUAUUAUCGUCAUCCAAUGAAUGCUUUCGUGCGCGACGGUGCGGUAAUCCGCAAGAGACGAAUCCGUCAAAGUUUAAGUGCGCGCAGCACCGAACCAGAGAGGAAAAAGAUUUACAAGGCACACGACGACGGAGCCUUGCGGCGUGACCUUGCGUUAAGUACUCUCCAAAUACAUUCCAGUGAAAGUUCAGUUAACCAAUCGAAGGUUGUAGCAACUGAGAAGGAAUCCAGAUAUUCAAAUGUUGAGUUUACGCGAGCAAAAGCUUUUUUGUAUUUAAAUUACAAGAAAAUUAGUUGUUUUAACGUUAACAAACUUCUCAAAGAACAUUUAAAGGAAUUUGAUGAAAAUGAAACUCAUUUAAAAAGGACUUUUGAACAAUGUUAUGAUGUAACCGGAUCUGUAGAAAAGAGUAAAGCUAUGAUGAAACAAAUUGCGACUAACACAUGGUCAAGACUUGAUCUUAAACCUACUUUAUCUUCAGGAGUUAGUGAAAGUUUUUUAAAAUUCUGUUUUAGGAGGUUAUCCAUUUUGCCAUGUAAAGUUGUUGAAAAAAGUGUUAAAAGACUUAAAAAAAAUAAGUAUAAAAAAAAUAUGACAAUCAGCUUAAAAAAAAAAAUUGAUGAUCUAAAUAUAAUAUUAUUUGGCAAGGAACAUUCAUCAAAAGAUAAAAAAAUCCUAUAUACAAUAAAACUUAAUGAAUAUAUUGGAGCACCUAAAAUAUAUUCUGAUUCUGAUUCAACAAUAAUUUCAGAUGAUGAAGAAAUUGGUAAUAGAAGUUGUAUACUAACUAAAGCUUAUAGCCUACGAGAUCCGAAAUUCGAAAACCUUAGGGAUACUAAAACAGGCACAUGUGUUAUUGUCCGCAUAAAUUCGAAUUUAAUUAAAAAUAAUCCUCAAUCAAAUACAUUUUAUGCUAAAAAAUCAAUUUCAGCAACUAGUCAAUUAAAAACUUCGGUUCAUAAAAAAUUUAAAAAAGGUCCAAAUGUUUGCGAUACUGGAAAUUCUAAAAUAUCGGCAUCAAAUAUGAAUAAUCUUGAAAAGAUAAAUUCACAACUAAAUACCGACGCAAGCAUUCAAAACGCUGAAAGUUUUGUACUGAAAAAGGUUAAUCAUGUUGGACAAAUCAUAGUUCCACAGUUUAAUAUUGAUGGAAUGGUUAAAAAUUCCAAAGUUCCUGAAUUAGAAACAAAUGUUGAAGGAGAAAAUACAAUUCCACAUAAAAAUGUUGAAGGUCCAGUAUUAGCUCAGAAUAUUGAUGAUGAAGAAAUGGUGGUUCCUCCAUUAAUAAUUGAUGAAUUUGUUGAAGAUGCUGAUAGUACUGUAUUGGAAACCGACGUUGGAGAAAUUAUGUUUCCAAAAUUAAUUAUAGACGAAAAUGUUCAAUCUUCCAAUAUGAUUCUAUUGGAAACUAAUACUCUUGUUGGAAAAAUUAUAGAUCAAGAAUUAGAAAAAUCUACAAAUAAUCAAGAUUUAGCCAACUCUCAAAUUGAUACAGAUAUUGAUGAUUCGAAAAAACAAUCUGCAUUGGAAACCGACGUUGGAGAAAUUAUGGUUCCGAAAUUAAUGGAAAAAAAUUUUAAAAAUGCCAAUAGUACUGCAUUAGAAACAAACGUUGAAGUAGAAAAUACAGUUCCACAUAGAAAUUCUGAAGGUCCAGUUUUGACUCCGAAUAUUGAUGAUGAAGAAAUGACGGUUCCUCCAUUAAUAAUAGAUGAAUUUGUUGACAAUUCUGAGAGUAUUGUAUUGGAAACGGACGUUGGAGAAAUGAUGUUUCCAAAAUUAAUAAUAGACGAAAAUGAUCAAUCUUCCAAUAGAACCAAAUUGGAAAUGAAUACUCUAGUUGGAAAAAAUAUAGAUCUAGAAUUAGAAAAAUCUAAGAGUAAUCAAGAUUUAGCCAAUUCUCAAAUUGAUACAGAUAUUGAUGAUUCGAAAAAACAAUCUGCAUUGGAAACCGACGUUGGAGAAAUUAUGGUUCCGAAAUUAAUGGAAAAAAAUUUUAAAAAUGCUAAUAGUACUGCAUUAGAAACAAACGUUGAAGUAGAAAAUACAGUUCCACAUAGAAAUUCUGAAGGUCCAGUUUUGACUCCGAAUAUUUAUGAUGAAGAAAUGACGGUUCCUCCAUUAAUAAUAGAUGAAUUUGUUGACAAUUCUGAGAGUAUUGUAUUGGAAACGGACAUUGGAGAAAUGAUGUUUCCAAAAUUAAUAAUAGACGAAAAUGUUCAAUCUUCCAAUAGAACCAAAUUGGAAAUGAAUACUCUAGUUGGAAAAAAUAUAGAUCCAGAAUUAGAAAAAUCUAUAAGUAAUCAAGAUUUAGCCAACUCUCAAAUUGAUACAGAUAUUGAUGAUUCGAAAAAACAAUCUGCAUUGGAAACCGGCGUUGGAGAAAUUAUGUUUCCAAAAUUAAUUAUAGACGAAAAUGUUCAAUCUUCCAAUAUGGUUCUAUUGGAAACUAAUACUCUUGUUGGAAAAAUUAUAGAUCCAGAAUUAGAAAAAUCUACAAGUAAUCAAGAUUUAGCCAAUUCUCAAAUUAAUGAAAUGAAAAUCGAUACGGAUAUUAAUGAUUUGAAAAAACAAUCGGAAAUAUUGGACCAUACAAAUUUAGUGCUUAAAAUUAGAAAAAUUAUAAACACGGAUGAUGAGGUAUUUAAAAAUUCUAUAAUAAAAGAUUUGGCAACGUAUUUUUUAAAUGAUGAUUUUCUAUACAAAGUAGAUGCAUUAUGGAAAACUACUGAAUCAGAACUUGUUGGAGAGUUAAUCAUAAAACUCCUUAAUAUGUUUAAUGACAUCGAAUAUAAUAUGGCACAAUUUACAGGUUGUUUAAUUUGCAUAUUUCGUGAAAUCGCUCGAAAGUCUUCCAUUCUUCCGUGUCAAUUGAAAUUAAAAUUGAUUGUGUUCCUUGAUGCUAUUAAAAAAUACAUCAAAUUUCAUGAUAAUGCAUUAUGGAGAACUUGGUUUUUACCUAGUAUGUUCUUCGAUUGGUGUUUUAUUGUCGCUUUUAUCUUUAUGAAUACUAAAAAUGAAUUUAAAAUAGAUUUUAAUAAGUCAGUUAUAAGAAAUGCAACAUCGUACUAUAAAAUGGUUAAACGGUGUAGAUAUCUAUUUAUUAAUCAAGAUUUAAAACCAACUAAGUCACAUAAGAAGAGUGGUAUAUUUGAAUUGACAAGAAUUGAUGACCUCUUGGAAAUUGAUGACGUACAUGCCACGAAUGAUACCAAAGUAAUACCGAAUAUAACUACUAACAUACCCUCGAAUGAACUUGAACGCAAAAAACUCAAAACGGAAGACAAUUGUAUAGAUACUAUUAAUCAAACUACACCAGGAAAUAUAGAGGAAGUGUGCCUUGCUUCAGUUGAUCCUAAAAUAUCUAAAAUAAUAGUACGUCCUCAAUUUAGUUAUUCAAAUUCAUUCAUUAAUAAGUUAAAUUGGUUUAAUAAUAAUAUCAGUGACCUUAUGAAAAGAUUCAACGCAUCAACUUCUAAUGAAAGUAAUGAAAGUUCCAUUGUCCAAAAUAAUACUUCAGUUGUUGAUAACAAUAAAGCACCAUCAUCUGUUAAUAAACGCCGAUGUGUUGUAACGAAUGCAACAAAUGAGCCAACAAUGAGUAAAAAAUCAAAAACACAAGUUGAAUCUCCACGCGUAUUUUUUACUAUUGCAAAUAAUCCUAAAGAAUUUGACAUAACUUAUGGUUCAUCAGCAAUCGCUCAGUCAAGAUCAUCAGCAGUCUCUAAGAAUGUAAGUUCAUCAUCAACAGUGCCUAAUAAUUCAAGUUCAUCAGCAGCAGUUCCUCAGAGUUUAGUGGUGUCAUCAACAGUUUCUCAAAAUUUGAGUCCAUAUUACAAUCAUUAUUCCUCCAGUAAUACCAUUAGUCAACUUCCGGUAACUUCGCAAACUGUAGCCUCUCGAAGUUUAAGUGUAUAUUACAAUAAUAUUAAUUCCAAUAUUAUGCAGGCUCCUAUUGGUUUGCCAUCACUUUCUAAUACUACACAAUCUUCAUAUCCGGCGAGUACAAAUCCAUCAGUCAAUAUAAACAGAACAUCUAAUAUUCAUCCAAUUCAUUCAAAUAAUCAGAGAGGGAUUCACCAUCAGAGUUCAGCUGCAGCGAAUUCACAGCGUCCAAAGGCAGCAAAUACAUGGCCAUCAAACAAGUAUACCAAUAUGUGUAGUGAUCCUUCUUGCAGUAAAUCUAGUACUUACACCACUCAAUACACAAAUUCUAAUGCCUCGUCGUAUUCACAAUCGACAUAUAGUCAUAACAUUCCAUCAGCAACUUCACAUCCUCAAUAUUCAAAUGCGCUUACAUAUCCAACAACCUACACACAUCCAAUAAUUAGUGGUCUAUUAGAAAGCAACACAGCAAAUGUGGCAUCAAUGAAUACCUAUAUGCAGAACCAAAGUUAUAAUUAUAGUAAUUCUUACUCAAGUCAGAAUAACUUGAAGACUCCCGAUCACAAUACUCAGGUUUCACCAGAUUUGCCUGAUGCUCGACUACCCAACAUGCCAAAUCACCAAGCUGCUGAUACUAUAAAUCAAACGUGUAUGGCGGCCAACUGUACAAAUGUUUCCAGUUUUUCUUGUAAUACUUGUUUGGCUGCUUUUUACUGCAGUAUACAAUGCCAAGUCAAUCAGUAGAAAGAACAAAAAGUACAUAUACAAAUGAGUAUAAAUUGUUUAACGUUUGGCACGCGCAAUGUCCGUCUUUGACUUAAACAUGCGCGGGCAGAAGUGCUUCGAUAUUUAUUUUACACACAGUCAGAUACACUAAUGAUCACUUACAUAUUUUGAAAGCUGACUAUUUCAAAGUUCAAACUCAUUAAAAACUGUCCGAUACCGAUCCCCUUGAUAAUGUUUCAAGAUAUAUACUUAGAACAAAUAAAUUAUGUUUUGUUCCAAUUCAUUUUAAAAAUCUGACUGGCAUUAUCACCAAAACGAAUGUUGUGUUUCUUUUUAACUGGAUAACCUACAGGUUAUUUAAUUAAAAUUAUUAUGAUUAAUUUUUACAACAUUGUUCAUUGUAUCUACAUUGAUGUUUUUUUUAUCAUAUUACCCUCAACUGCAUCUUUUUUUGUAAAUAAUUACAACUUAAUUUAUUUACAUGUAUCUAUUCAAUUUUAUUAUUUAAUUGGUUAAUGACAUAUUGACAUGAGAAUAAUUGUUAUUCUAAUAAUAAUAACUAUUAUUAUUGUGUAAUAGAUGAUAAUAUUAUUAUUUCAUUACAUAAUAAGAGUAAUUAUGCAUGACUUUUCUAUUAUAUAGUUUACAAUAAGACCAUAGUAUUAUUAUUUGUAUACUUACUGUUGUUUUACUUAUUUAAUUGGAAGGCUGACUAAACUUAAUAGCAAUUUAACUGAGACUAUUUCUUAAUCAACUUUCUUAUAGUUAUAAUAAUUAAAAGAAGAGUGUUUGAUAAGUUUUCCAGUCAGUAGGUUGUAUUAAAACUUAACUGAUUUUUAUGCGUGCAAAUAUUUUAAUGUCGGAGUGGCUCCUAAAAAAAUUGUAUUGUACUAAUAUAUUACUUUAGGGCUUAGGCUGUAAUAUUUUUAUUAGUAAAACAUAUUCUUGACACUGGUUUUUUGAAAUUUCUCAUAUAAAAGUUAUUAAUUUCAUUUGAUUUUAGCUUUGAACAAUCUUCCAGUUUAACUGUGUAUAAUUUUUCAAACAAAUAACAAAUACAAUUUUUAGCAUGUUCUUUUAUCAAAUAUUAAAUAAAACUUGUCCUUCAAAAACAGUUUAUUACAUAAACGCUAAAUAAAUAAUAAUUAUUAAAAUAACAAUUUACCCAGUUCAUUGUUAUUAAUCAUUAUCUAGUUCCGUCAAAAUGUAUUUUUCUAUAGACAUUAACAUAAAUGCCUUCAGGUCAUUGAGCUUCUCAAUCUAUUUUUUUUUAGAUAUUUAAGAGUAGAAAACAAUCUACUCAAUCUAUCCCUUUAUCAUGUACUAAUUUUGACUUAAAACGAAAGUACUUACAAUCACCAUAAUAUGACCUAUAUGAUCAAUGAUCACAAUAUUAGUCACAAACAUUUAAUGAGGAACCUAAUUAGGUUAAUCAAUAUACCUCAAUCUUUUUGGGAGCUUUGUUUUUGAACUAUUUAACAGACCAUUGCAGGGGCAUUAAAUGAUAACUUUGAAUUAGUUAUUACAUAAUGAAACUUAAAAUGUAAAGAAGAAUAGGGGUUAUUUUCCAAAACGUGUUAAUGCCAAAAAUCAAAUUGUUGAGAAAACACAUUUUUUUUUGUUCUAAGAUCUAUAGAAAGUAUAUAAUAACCUUAUACCAGCGUUUCUUAAACUGUGUUCCAUGGAACCCCAGGUUCUGCAGAGAUCACUUCAGGGUUUCGUGAAACUUAAGUGCUCUUUUUCAAAAUUUUAAAUCGUUCUCUGUGUUAAAUGUUUGUGCAUUUCAAAAGAUAAAUAUCCUCAAUUGUCACAAAAGGUCGUGUUGGCACUUAUACCAUUUGUAACCACUUAUAUAUAUGUGAAACGGGGUUCACCAUCUAUAUGUACCUACAAAAACAAAAUACCGCAGCAGACUUGAUGCUGAACCUAAUAUAAGAAUACAAUUUUCAUCAAUAAAGCUCGAUAUUAAGAAUAUUUGUAAUAGUAAAAAGUAAUUUCACUCAUCUCAUAAAAAUUAAAAUUUAGAACUUUAGAAGUUCUGUUAUUGUCUGUUAUUUAAAAUAUUUUUUGAAUUAAAUACAGAAUAGUGUGUACACAUUAUUAUUGAACAAAAUUAUUACAAAUUUUAUUGUAAAUAAUCCUUACAUAAAAUGACACAUUAAAACUAUUGAAACAAAGUAUAGGUUCUAAUUGUAGAGCUAUAAAAACUUACUGUUGAAAGCUUAAUAAAAAAGCUGAAAAGCUAGAAAAAAAAAGUAGGGGUUCCACAAUAAAAGUGGACAUAAAAAAGGGUUCCACGGAUAAAAAAGUUUAAGAAACGCUGCCUUAUACUAAUAGACAAGGAGUGAUUGCACACCGAGCGUGGAAACAUAGAGAGCGCUUUUCGUAAGAUGUAUAGAUAUAUAGAUUAUUGUAGUUUAUCGUCAAGAUAGCAUUUUCAUCAAAAUUUAAGUUGGUAAUAUUUAUUAUUAUUUAAGAAUGACUACUAACUACUAGAUCACAGAAUAGUUUAAACCAGAAUGAGCCCUCGAAAAAUGUACAAUAAAAAAAAACCAAAAUUGUCACUUAAAAACUGUAGAUUAAAGUGACUGUAUACAAUAUAAAUCAGUUAAUUUGUUUGCAUAGCUAUUGGCUAUAUUGAUGGCAUUAUAGCUCUUAUCACGGUUUUUGGAGCGUGUCUAUUCUGUUUUCACCUAUUUUGUGACGAGUAUAAUAUUAUUGUAUGCCGCAUGGGAAAACACAAAUAGUUAUUGCAUGUCCUCUCACGUGAUGUUAUUUAAACUCUAUAUGACCAUAUCUAGCGAUGUUUAUCAGCACCGUUUAAGAUAUACAGUUAAACAUUAUCGGUCUAUGAUAGGGUGACCAUAUUUAAAAAAAAAAAAAAUACAGGACAAAAUUAAUAAUAAUAUAAUUUUUUUUUUAUUAAUACUUAAUAUAUAUAUAUCUAUAUAUAAUAUAUAUUUUAUAAUUUAAACAUAAUUUUUAAUAACACUGUAUAAGAUUCAUGUACUUUACUUUUUUAAAAAAACUUAUUAAUUCAUUUUGAUGACGAUUGUUCAGAGAUGUCUUCACUAUUUGAUUUUUCAUAUUUUUCUGAAGAAGUAAUUAGUUUUAAUAAUUGUGGAUGUUCUAAAAGAAAUGUAUGCAAUUCUGUACAUGAAACAUUUUUAAAAUGUUGUUUUACGAUUAUUAUCGAUCUAAUUGUGUCCACAAGAAAUCGAUUUUUCUCAUCUGUCCAUAAAACAUUUGUAAUUGAAAAUACUCUUUCUACCGACGCGUUAGUUCCUGGAAUAGCCAUCGAAUACUCUAAAAUAACCGUAAAAUAUUUAAUUGAAAUGUUAUUUUUUUUUAGAAUUUUGAAUAUUUCACACCACCUAUCUUCGGUUUUUGAACCAUUUUUCCAGUUUUGCAUUUUAACCUUCAUUACAUUUAUCACAUGAUUAAAUUCGUCAAAAAGUUCAUCUUCAUCGAAUUUCAAUGUUGGAUUAUUCUUAAUAAUAUAUUUAAAACUUUCUUGAAUGUCACUCCAAAUUGGAAAAUCUAGUACUUGAAUCCAACGAAAAACUUUUAGUGGUUCAAAGUGAUAUCCCCAUUUUUCCACGUACGAUAAAAACGUGUCAUAAAACUCAUCAGUUAUCUCAAUAAACUUUUUUUCACUGUACAGUUUGUUCUUAUCAAGAUCUGAAAUAAGUUGAGCUAGCUCUGACGUAAAAAAAUGUUGAUUUUUCCGAUUUUUUAUUUUACCACAUAACACUUCAAUUUCUUCAUACACCUCGCCUGCUGAUAUAUGAUCACCUUCUAUCCUUUUUAUUGUAUCACAUACCACCUUCAACUGACUUUGUACAAAAUAUAACCAUGCCAUGGAUAUAGGAUCAUUAAAAAAAGUUCUUAAAACUGUAGGACACUUUUCUUAUGACAUAAAAUAUGAUUUCAAUGCAGGAUAUAAAUCUAUUAUUCUAGAAACAGCUGGCUGUAGAGAUAACCAACGCGUUUUUACAGAUCCUAAAAUAUUUUUGUACUCAAUACUAACAAAAUCGCAAAAAUCCUUCAAUUUUUCUAUACGAACUGUAUAAAUAUGAAAAUACUGAAAUAUUUUAUUAAUUAUGAGUUCAAUGUCAGUUGGCAAAAUAUCAGCACUACUAUGCAUAGCAUUGUGCAGAAUAUGAGCAGCACAGCCAAUACCGGAAAUAUUUCUUUUUAAUUUUUCAUUUAGAAUUGCAAAAACGUUAUUUGUGUCUUUUCUCGAGACGCCGCCAAAAUUUGUAUUGCAGUUGUCACCCGAAAAUGCAACAACAUUAUUUAAACAUUCAGUAUGUAAUCUUAUAAAAUAUUUGAUGUUUCUCCUUUUAAAUUCAUAAAUUCUAACACUUUAAUUUUUAUCCCUUCUUGGGGGUUAAAAUACCGAAUCAGAAUUGGAACCAGUUUUAAAUUUUUAUGGUUUGACGUGUCCACCAUAAUUGUUAAAAAUUUAACGGAUUUUAGUUCAUCUAACAUCUGUUGAAUGGCAAAAGGAGCUAUUACAUUCACAAUUAUAGAUUCACAUUUUGUAUACGAGCACACGAAAAUUUUUUUUCGUAAAUUUUUUUUAUAAUUGAUGUUGAACAAUCCAUAGACCUGAAUGAAUAAUUGUGUAUAAUAGUAUGAUAUCCAAAAAGACCCUCUUCCACAGCAAUACAUUUGCUUUCAUUUGUUGACUGUACAUUAGUGAAAAAAUUCGUUACCUUAUUUGAAGAACUGCUUGAUACGGCCAAUAAAUGUUUCUUUUGUUUAACAUGUUGUGUAAUAUCUGAACGACCACCGUUUUCUAUUGAAAAAACUGAUUUACAUACAAUACAUAAAACUUUUCCGAUUUCAUCACUAUCUCUUAAAAACGGAAAUUCAACUUUCAAGCUGGGAGUAAAUACGCACCUUCGCUUAGGCAUUUUAAUAGAUGACUUUCCUAAAAUUGUAAAAUAUUAUAUUAACGAUUAUCAACAAGUCGACAACACUCAACGAUUGUUGGAACCCAACUAAUAGACAUUCGCUAUUCGCCGUAUUCAUAAAACGUAUUUUCAGUGAUAUAAAUAUAAUAAUAGAUAGAAUCGAAAGCAUAGUCAGAUAACGGUAAAUCCGAUAACUCCGAUAAGCUCCUAUAACUCAUAGACAUAUCGUCAUACCCCAUACUGAUAAAUUCAGACAAUUACAAGAUUACAAUUAUAAUCAUUAUUCAUUACUUUCGUAAGUUUCGUUUUCAAAUUCAUUCAUUUUGUUUGAUCAAAAAAACAGGACAAAAAGCGUCCUGAAAGAAGUUUGUCAGGACAACAGGACACAACGCUGAAAUAAAGGACAAUCCUGUAACAAACAGGACGUAUGGUCACCCGUCUAUGAUAUAAUGUAUUUUCAUGACCGUCAAACUGAGUCGCCAAAACAGCUGUGGAAAUACAAAAUGGCGCAAUCUAGCAGCAUUUUUUUGGAAACUCAACAAUUCAAAACGUAUUUUUAUCGUAAGACAUAUGCUUAUGUAUAACCACGAUUAAAGAUAGUAUGGUUGCCCAACGAACUAUGAUAAGAAACUAUUUAAUGAUACUCAUAGUUUCUUUUAUUAUCAACGAUACUCUAGAAACUUUUACUAGCGCUCAUAGAGUAAAAAUUAAGUACUAGGCAUAAAAUUAUACGAAUAUUAUAUGAUUCAAUAUUUAAACGCUCGAAGUGACAAUGCUCGGUUCUGCUAUUCGUUGUGAUAACAAGAAAACUCGGAGAAUCACUUGAUUAUGGUUUGUUGUGCAACCAUACUAUCUUUAACCGUGUGUAUAACUAAAUAUCAUAUCGGUUCAACACAUUAUAUCGCUAAAUGGUGCCAGUCAGUAGUUCCAUAGCUGUUAUAGCUUCAAUUGGACGGGGUCCAUUUCACAAUUCGUUGUGUAACCAGUAUAAUAUCUUGAAUCGUGUUUUAUCAGAUAGGCACAUAAAAACAACUUUUAGAUACGACAACACUUCCCCUAAAAUAGAAAACAAAUUCGUUCCACCACUUGGUUGAUAAAUAAUACUUUGUAAAUUAAAAUUUUUAAUGUUUUAUAAAAUAUAAACUUAUUUUAAAAUGUUUAAUUAUAUAUUAUUUCAAAUGGCACGCUUCGAAAAAAUGCUAUAUUUAUAACCUAUUCUAAUUACAUGUAUUGCACUAGCAGGUUUUGACAAAAAUAGUUUAUGGAAAUAGAUCGUUAUAAAUAAAAUGCGCAUUUUCCAACACAUUUUUCGCAUACAAAUAUUUUGUUUUGGAUAAAAAAUAAUAAUACCAUUAGAUUGGCCGCUAUUUUUAGCAAAGAAGAAUCAAUGUAAAAGUCGAUUUUGUUAAAAAUAGAAUUAAUAAGUUUUGGAAAAGACCCCCUAUUGUUAAUGAAGUUAGGGAAUUUUAAAUACAUACUUAGCAUAGAUUAAUGAUACUAUAGAUAAGCAAUGUAAAAUUAUUGACGAAUGACUUGUAAAUCAGCAUUGUUUGCUAAUAAUAUGUUAAGGUAAAUUAUAAUAAUUUUAGUAUUUAAAAUUUAUUAUAUUUUUGUUUAAAAUCAAUAUAUUUAUUUAAAUUGAUAUACUUAAGUACCAAAGUAUAAAUUACUUAUAGCAAGACCGUAAUUAGAGUGGGAGUUAUUUCAGCAUUAAAUAUAUUUGGGUUAUACCUAAAGAAUUUAUUAUUUAAUUGAAAUUAAUUUUUUUUCAUUUGUCCCCAUAAAAAUGUCUAAAUACGGUCUUGUUUGAAAAGCGGAUGCUUUCAUUUUGACGAGAUUCAAAAUAUAUACAUUUUAUAUUUAAUAAAGAUUAUUGUUAAUUAA